UACGUAGGGUGCGAGCGUUAAUCGGAAUUACUGGGCGUAAAGCGUGCGCAGGCGGUGAUGUAAGGCCGAUGUGAAAUCCCCGGGCUUAACCUGGGAACUGCAUUGGUGACUGCAUUGCUGGAGUAUGGCAGAGGGGGGGUGGAAUUCCACGUGUAGCAGUGAAAUGCGUAGAGAUGUGGAGGAACACCGAUGGCGAAGGCAGCCCCCUGGGCCAAUACUGACGCUCAUGCACGAAAGCGUGGGGAGCAAACAGG
rnacentral:rRNA from 1 species